rnacentral:misc_RNA from 1 species
CGCACAUUGCGCCCUUUGGCAUUCCGAAGGGCAUGCCUGUUCGAGCGUCAUUACAACCCUCAAGCACUGCUUGGUAUUGGGCCUCGUCCCCGUGACGUCCCCGUAAUCUCGUGGCGGUCCAGUGAGACUUGAAGCGUAGCAAGAUUAUAGAAUCCCCGCUUUGCAAGCACCUCAUUGCGUGCUGGCCAAACAACCCCAUAAUUUCAAUGGUUGACCUCGGAUCAGGUAGGGAUACCCGCUGAACUUAA